rnacentral:misc_RNA from 1 species
GAUGAAGAACGCAGCGAAAUGCGAUACUUGGUGUGAAUUGCAGAAUCCCGUGAACCAUCGAGUCUUUGAACGCAAGUUGCGCCCGAAGCCAUUAGGCCGAGGGCACGCCUGCCUGGGCGUCACACGUCGUUGCCCCCCCAUCUACUCCUUCGGGAUUGCGGGGGGCGGAUGAUGGCCUCUCGUGCGCCUCGUCGCGCGGUUGGCCUAAAUGCCAAGUCCUUGGCGACGCACGCCACGACAAUCGGUGGUUGCGAAACCUCGGUUGCCUGUCGUGUGCGGUCGUCGCGCAUCGAGGGCUCGAAAAAAUUGCCGGGCUUCGGCUCGACUUUCAACGCGACCCCAGGUCAGGCGGGGUUACCCGCUGAAUUUAAGCAUAUCAAUAAGCGGAGGA